UUUCCGUGUUUCAAGANGGGUCNUAAGAGUACCCAAAGCAGUAGCGUCGCCGACCGGUAUCGGCCCCCGUGAGGACACGGGGACGUUUGCAGGCCUGUCGAAGGUUAACCGUACGACCAACAGCGGGCCAGGACCGGUGACGGCACUAGGUCCGUUGAGCCUCCGUGUACCGUGGCGCGCGCUUGCGACGGCCUCGACGCAUACGCGUUGCUCUCUCGAGAGGGAGCAACCUGCGGCCUGAUACCUUGCGUGUACCGCGUACUUGUUCGCUAUCG
rnacentral:rRNA from 1 species